CGGGGCUCAACGCCUUGUAAUUGGAAUGAUGGGAACCUAAACCCCUUCCAGAGUAUCAAUUGGAGGGCAAGUCUGGUGCCAGCAGCCGCGGUAAUUCCAGCUCCAAUAGCGUAUAUUAAAAUUGUUGCAGUUAAAAAGCUCGUAGUUGAAUUUCUGCCGCCUCGCCGCGGCCCCCGGGCCCGACGUCGCGGCUUAUUUCGGCGACCUCGCGCCGCCGAAUGUUUACUUUGAGAAAAUUAGAGUGCUCAAAGCAGGCCCUUGCCUUGAAUACUUUAGCAUGGAAUAAUAAAGUAGGACUUUGGUUCUAUUUUGUUGGUUUAGCGCCAAAGUAAUGGUUAAUAGGAACAGUUGGGGGCAUUCGUAUUUAACUGUCAGAGGUGAAAUUCUUAGAUUUGUUAAAGACGAACCACUGCGAAAGCAUUUGCCAAGGAUGUUUUCAUUAAUCAAGAAC
rnacentral:rRNA from 1 species